GGCUGUUGGUUUUCAUUUAAAAAAAAAAAAGUUAAAACGGGGUGGAUCAAUUUCUGAAGUUUUAGGACAGCACGGAUUUGAAAGCAACCCUGUUGCUACCACCGCCUGCAUGUGAAGCUGGAUCGGCCAGAAAUGCGAACAGGCUGUCUCUGACAGAAGCAUACAGUUCAUCAAAAGUGUCUGCAGGUUGUCAAACUCAGGGAGGUUUGGGGACCCUCUGUGGCUGUCAUGGUCAACAAGAAGAUUUUCUGUCGGGCUUCUCCAUCACUCACCCCGAGGAAAUAAUCACUCACUACCUUCUGCAUGUUCUCAUGAUAGAGCUCUCCAUUUGAGAGAAAAGAGCCAUUUUAUCAAAGGACAAUAUAGCCCUUCUCUGGGCCCACGUAGCUUCCAUUAUCAGACCAUAAUAAAUCAUAUUUAUGUUCUUAGUUAAUAAGACUGAUUACAACGCAGGUUCCAGACGUGGGAAAAGCAAAGCAGGUGGAAAGAUGUUUUAAUGAAAAUAUGAUAAGAAAACAGCUUCUUGUGAACAUUUUGUGCUAUUAUUUGUAAUGAUUACAGACAAUUUUUGAUGCAUCUUCUUUAGCAAUGGUUUAAGCUGCCUAAAUUGGCUCACUGGUAGAUAAGUAAAAAUGAUAAGGAAAAAAAUCAUGAAAUCUUCUUAUGUUGUCUAGAACCAUUAUGUACAUAACAGGUGCAAAAUGGGUUUAAUGUAUAUGCUGGGGAUGGAGGGGAAACAGAUUUCUCAGAAAAGCAGGGUUUGGGUAUUUUUCAAAGUGAUUUAGAAAUUUUCUUCUCAUCUUGUUAAAGAUGUGUGGCCCCUGAGGUGGGGGCACGCUGGUCAUUAAUUUCACCUCUGUAAAUGAACCUACAGCUCUAUCUUCCUUAUUCAACCUCCAAGUUAUUUUUCCUUUUCUUCCCUUAUUUUAUUUUUCUUCCCUCUUAGAGCUCAGUACAAACAGACAAAGAGAUAUAUAUUUCCUGCUCAAUGUUUGUGCACAACUGCCAUUAGUGCUAAUGGGAGUUAAGUGCCUGCUUAGGAGGAAAACAGACCCCAAAGUUUAA
rnacentral:lncRNA from 1 species